rnacentral:rRNA from 1 species
UACGGAGGGAGCUAGCGUUGUUCGGAAUUACUGGGCGUAAAGCGCACGUAGGCGGCUUUGUAAGUUAGAGGUGAAAUCCUGGAGCUCAACUCCAGAACUGCCUUCGAUACUGUAGAGCUUGAGUUCGGGAGAGGUGAGUGGAACUGCGAGUGUAGAGGUGAAAUUCGUAGAUAUUCGCAAGAACACCAGUGGCGAAGGCGGCUCACUGGCCCGAUACUGACGCUGAGGUGCGAAAGCGUGGGGAGCAAACAGG